rnacentral:rRNA from 1 species
AACGAACGCUGGCGGCGUGGAUAAGACAUGCAAGUCGAACGAGAGAAUUGCUAGCUUGCUAAUAAUUCUCUAGUGGCGCACGGGUGAGUAACACGUGAGUAACCUGCCCCCGAGAGCGGGAUAGCCCUGGGAAACUGGGAUUAAUACCGCAUAGUAUCGAAAGAUUAAAGCAGCAAUGCGCUUGGGGAUGGGCUCGCGGCCUAUUAGUUAGUUGGUGAGGUAACGGCUCACCAAGGCGAUGACGGGUAGCCGGUCUGAGAGGAUGUCCGGCCACACUGGAACUGAGACACGGUCCAGACACCUACGGGUGGCAGCAGUCGAGAAUCAUUCACAAUGGGGGAAACCCUGAUGGUGUGACGCCGCGUGGGGGAAUGAAGGUCUUCGGAUUGUAAACCCCUGUCAUGUGGGAGCAAAUUAAAAAGAUAGUACCACAAGAGGAAGAGACGGCUAACUCUGUGCCAGUAGCCGCGGUAAUACAGAGGUCUCAAGCGUUGUUCGGAAUCACUGGGCGUAAAGCGUGCGUAGGCUGUUUCGUAAGUCGUGUGUGAAAGGCGCGGGCUCAACCCGCGGACGGCACAUGAUACUGCGAGACUAGAGUAAUGGAGGGGGAACCGGAAUUCUCGGUGUAGCAGUGAAAUGCGUAGAUAUCGAGAGGAACACUUGUGGCGAAGGCGGGUUCCUGGACAUUAACUGACGCUGAGGCACGAAGGCCAGGGGAGCGAAAGGGAUUAGAUACCCCUGUAGUCCUGGCAGUAAACGGUGCACGCUUGGUGUGCGGGGAAUCGACCCCCUGCGUGCCGGAGCUAACGCGUUAAGCGUGCCGCCUGGGGAGUACGGUCGCAAGAUUAAAACUCAAAGAAAUUGACGGGGACCCGCACAAGCGGUGGAGUAUGUGGCUUAAUUCGAUGCAACGCGAAGAACCUUACCUGGGCUUGACAUGUAAUGAACAACAUGUGAAAGCAUGCGACUCUUCGGAGGCGUUACACAGGUGCUGCAUGGCCGUCGUCAGCUCGUGUCGUGAGAUGUUUGGUUAAGUCCAGCAACGAGCGCAACCCCUGUUGCCAGUUACCAGCACGUGAAGGUGGGGACUUUGGCGAGACUGCCCAGAUCAACUGGGAGGAAGGUGGGGACGACGUCAGGUCAGUAUGGCCCUUAUGCCCAGGGCUGCACACGUACUACAAUGCCCAGUACAGAGGGGGCCGAAGCCGCGAGGCGGAGGAAAUCCUGAAAACUGGGCCCAGUUCGGACUGUAGGCUGCAACCCGCCUACACGAAGCCGGAAUCGCUAGUAAUGGCGCAUCAGCUACGGCGCCGUGAAUACGUUCCCGGGUCU